UACGGGGGGAGCAAGCGUUGUUCGGAUUUACUGGGCGUAAAGGGCGCGUAGGCGGCCACCGCAAGUCGGUUGUGAAAUCUCUGGGCUUAACCCAGAAAGGUCAACCGAUACUGCGGGGCUAGAGUGCAGAAGGGGCAACUGGGAAUUCUCGGUGUAGCGGUGAAAUGCGUAGAUAUCGAGAGGAACACCUGCGGCGAAGGCGGGUUGCUGGGCUGACACUGACGCUGAAGCGCGAAAGCUAGGGGAGCGAACGGG
rnacentral:rRNA from 1 species